GACGAACGCUGGCGGCGUGCUUAACACAUGCAAGUCGAACGAAGUGGCGAACGGGUGAGUAACGCGUAAUCAACCUGCCCUUCAGAGGGGGACAACAGUUGGAAACGACUGCUAAUACCGCAUACUGAAGGUGGGGAUUGCGGCUGAUUAGCUCGUUGGAGGGGUAACGGCCCACCAAGGCGAUGAUCAGUAGCCGGGCUGGGAGGAUGAACGGCCCCAAUGGGAAUGAGAAACGGCCCAGACUCCGACGGGAGGCAGCAGGGGGGAAUCUUCCGAAAUGGACGAAAGUCUGACGGAGCAAAGCCGCGUGAGUGAUGACGGCCUUCGGGUUGGAAAGCUCUGUUAAGCGGGACGCGGUACCGGAAUAGAAAGCCACGGCUAACUACGUGCCAGCCGCCGCGGUAAUAC
rnacentral:rRNA from 1 species